CAUGUCGUCGCCUUAUUUCCAGACUGACGUAACUCGAUUUUUCGAAAAUAUGGAGUGUUUGGUAUCAUUUUUUUCUGCUCGUCGAGCUCUAGAUGAUGAGACUAUAAGUGUCCCUAUAGAACGUCUAUAAAUGUGUUUAAUUUCAGUUCCAUACUGACGCAUGUCGGGUUUUUGGCUUUCAGUUGAUUUCCAGGAUGACGUUAAAAAUCAACCAAUCGCGUUGUUUUAUUUGGUCGCCAUCUUGGAUUUAGAGCAAUGGCUGUGCAGUGACAACAAGUGGAUCAAGUGGAUUUGCUUUAGAAAAACUAGUCGUGCUAGUUGUAUUGUACAAAUAUGCUGAAUUUCGAUGUGCUUCCAGAUGAACUAAUACUGCAUGUUUUCAUAUACAUUGACCUACAACACCUUCUCCAGUCUGUAAAUAGAGUGUGUCAUAAGUUCAACGAUGUGAUAAAGAAGCACUCAAUACUAUGGUGCCAUUUCGAGUUUCCUGAACAACUGGAAUUGAAUAAAACCAAUUUGGAAAAUAUUCUGUCUCAUUCUGUGAGGAUUGUUGAUCUGUUCAUGCCAUGUACUGUGUUUAAAUGUAAAAUACCAGAAAUCGACAAAGUGUUUGCUGCAUCCAAAUUUACGUACUUGGACCACCUAAAUACCAUUCAUACUGUGGUCUGAUGCAUAUGUUCCUCAGAACAAGAACUCUGUUAUGUCGUUUGCACUCAAGAGAUAUAUGGAGGACUAUAAUAUUGAGUCAAUUGUACAAAAAUUUGGCUGUCCUGGCUACUCGAGUGUACAAGAAGUUGAUAAUAUCCACAGUAAUAUCGAGAGGAUAACAAGAUAUGCAGAGAUUUACAGUCCCAUCGCAUUGAUAAGAGACCUGAAAUCAAUGCGACGUAGAAGUUCAGUACGCAUUAUCCAAAUGCAAAAGCACAAUUUCAUGGAUUACCAGAAAUGUAUAUUAAAAUUCAACGAAAUUCCUUUCACCAAAGUGAAGUGUUUGAAGUACGAUAAGUGUUUGCCAUUUCACAUUGGGUACAAACUUUCGUAUAGUGCGACUGACUUCAGAACAGUCCAUAUUGAAAUUAGACAAACACGAGCACGAACCAACAAACAACCAGAAUUCUUACCAAGACCAGCGCAAUCAAACAAAGUUCCAAUUAUUUCUCAAGACAAAAAGAAGGACAUAACUUGUAUGCUCAAAUACAUGCCAGAGGUCGAUAGACAAUUCUACAAAACAUUGAAACUAGUUAUUAAUGAAUAAGUACUGGAAUGCUACUAUUAAAGCAUCAUUUUGUGCUUUGAAAUAUGCUUUAAAAGCCAAUGUGACAGAAUGUUUAGAGUUUUACUUGUUGCUAAGACUUUUUCUGAAAAUUUGUGUCUUUUAGUUGUUACCAGUUUGGUAUGUUUGUGAUUAACAUUUUGCAAAACUCUUUUGGUUAGUCUUUAAAUCCAGUGUUUUCAAGGAGGUGACAGUUUAAAAAUUGUACACAAUGUACUCUGAUUGUACACAAUCAUAAUCAACAUACAUUAUUCUAGACAAUAAUAGUGUUUAGUCUGUUUUACAUGUACCAGUUAAAUCUGUUUUGUGUUAGACUUUUUGCAAAGACAUUGUGAGGUAAAUUUAUAUGUGUUUUGAACAUUUUUAAAAGUUUAAUAUGUUUGUGUUUGACUUCUUGAAGAGACUUAUUAUGAUAAGUACACGCUAUGAACAUUUUAACUGGACAGACAAACAGUUUUUUUUAUUGACAUUAUAUUUUUUUCGAUAGUUAAAAGUGGGUGCUUUAAGCAGUAUUCAUACUUGAAUCUAGAAAUCAAUGAAUAAGAAGAACUUGUAUGAUACUAUUAAAAUAUCAAUUUGCGCUUUUGAUUAUGCUUUAGAACUAAAGUAUCAGGUAAGGUGACUGGUUUUAGGUACACAUUAUCAAUAGUGUAAUUAUGCUCUUAAUAUUUUAACUUUUUAUACAAGUUUCCGUGUUUUGUUUCAGACUUUUGGCAAUUACUUUUUAAGAUAAAUAAUUAUGUGCUUCGAACAAUUUUGUUUUGAAUUCCAAUACAAAGUGUUUAUAUUUUCUCUAUUGACCAUCCAAUAUCUUAGUUUAUUAUAUACCUAUAUAAAUUCUGUAAAAAAUCGGCUUGUAUUUCACAACUGAAUAUGAACAGUCAGACAAAAAUUCCGUAUUGUACCUUUUAAAUUCCGUAUUGUACCUUCCGUAUUGUAUGCUGCCGGACUAUUUUCAUUAAUAUGCAUGACCCGACACAUUACUAUAAAAAGCGCACACAAAAACUUCACUAAGUUCCAUUUAAUAUCGAUAAACAUUGAAGAUUUCGUUCAAGAACAAAACAACAAACAAAAAGGUAAAGGUAUAUAAUAAAAGGGUUAUUAUAACACUAGCUAGAUCUGGGACUUUGUAUUCGGCUCUCGUGGAUUUUGCAAGGUCGGAUCACACUCGGCGCUUGCGCGCCUCGUGAGAUCCGAUCUGGCAAAAUCCACUCGAGCCGAAUACUGCAUCCCAGAUCGAGCUACUGUUAUAAUAACCCUAUUAUAUCAGAGAGAUGGAUAUUUAAUAAAACUACUUAAUACUUAUCAAUGCAUCAUGUUAAGUAAAAUAAUAAUCCCAUUCAGUGGAUACUAUUAUUUAAUUGAAUUAUUCAAUUCAAAAUUUAACUAAGAAAGGUUUCAUCUCUGAAUUUUAUUUUUUUUUUAAAUAUCAAAACAUUUAUAUAAUUAUGUGCACUGUUUUAUUGUUUCUGGAAUAAAGUUACGUCAAAAUUAG